rnacentral:lncRNA from 1 species
UCUUGUAACGAAACCAGCACUUAGAGGCAACGAAAGUCUGACGAACAUAUUCUUGAACUGCCUUCCUCCUUUUUCCAGGGAAGAAGCUUCGAAGAUCCUCCCAACUCUACUUGACGGCAAUUUAGUAGUCGAGUCUAUUUCCGAGUGAAGAACCUUGUACGGCAAAUAUGUUCAGAAUAGAGAUUCAUAGAGAUCCAUUCUGGAAUUAUGCCAAGCAACUACUUGGAAAUCAGUGGUGGUGUGGACUCUGCGGAAAGGAUGGCAGCGAAAGAGUUACUAGAAUAAAAGUGCAUUUCACGAGAUGCAGAAAAUGGGUAUUGAUUCCUACGAGAAAGCAAUGAAGAGCUAAGAUCUAUGACGUUGAAUGCAUUAUUAUCAACGGCAUCAGGAGGAGAGAGUGGCUCUAUAUAGUUUCACAAAAAGUAAUGGAAUCAUGAGAGAGUCCCUCUGUAUUACAGGCGGUAGUUCAUUACCGCCUAUGCAACAGGAGGAUUUACUGGCUGCCUAUCUUCUAGAGGAUACAAGUACAUGAAGAGCAUUGGAAUUAGGAGAGUUGCAUAGGCGGUAACAAGUGAUUCAGUCCAUGUACAGAGGGAUGUUCUCCUUAUUUCAAUUCUCUCCGUGAUGUCGCUCUUGAUAGUAAUGCAUCCAGCACCGCAGAUCUCAGCCUUUCAUUGGCUUUCUCGCAGGGACCAAUACCUUUUCCAAAUUCCCUCGAAAUGCGCCUUUAUCCUAGUUAUGCUUUCGCUGACAUCCUUCCUGCAGAGUCUACACCAUUCCCGCGAAAUGCGCCUUUAUCCUAGUGAUGCUUUCGCUGCCAUCCUUCCUGUAGAGUCUACAUCGCCACCAAUUUUCAGGCAGUUGCUCGGCAUAGUCCUAGAAUGGGUCUCUCUAUUCUGGACAUGUUUGCUGUACAAGUAGUCCUUCAGGUUCUUGACUCGGGAAUAGACCUGACUCGGGAAUAGACUCAGCCAUUAGAUCACCAUCACGCUAGAGUCGGGAGGAUCUUCAAAGCUUCUUCCUUGGAAAACACAGGGAGGCAGUUCUUGAAGAAUAUGUUCGUCAAACUUUCGUCGCCUCCAAGCGUCAGUUCCGUUGCAAGAGACUGCAACCUCCGACCUUUAAGAAGAGCAAAAUCUUGCCUUUCACUCCAAAUCUCCGACAUUGAAUCUGAAAGGUGUUAUAUGUCGAAGUUUCUUCCGAUUGUGGGAGGUGAAGAAAGAGAGAUUAGGAUCGAGGAAAAAAGGAAGAUUAGGGUUUACUUCAUACACUUGUUGCAGCUAUAACAAACUUAAAGAAACUUAGAGGGAUUCAAAAGAAAUACCAUUGAUAUUUGAAACUUAUUGACCUUGGAGACGUCCAUUUAGACUCACGUUUUUUUUCUUUUUUGGAAAUGAUAAAAAGAAUAAUUUAAUUUAUAUUGUUCAUCCUCAACGUUUUUUUACAUUGGUCAUCGUAUAGUGAUAUUAAAGAAUCUAAUUCAUCAUGAAAGAGAAAAAGAUUAAUGACUAAGUACGUGUUCAUAAAUUCAACAUAUUUUUAGUACAAAAACGAAACAACCAACCAUGUUUUCGAAAUUUUAAUUCCAGUUGAAAAAUUAUUCUUUUACAGAUAACACAUUUUGAAGAAAAUAUAUAAUCGAAAACAGAAAUUGUCUUUGUCUUUGUUUUUACUGAAAUGAAAAAUGAAAAUAUCUCAAGUGAAUCAAAUGAGCUCAAAUUCUCAAUCCAAUAUGUAAUAAAGUUGUUCAUUAGGACCGAAUCAUCAGGGUGUAAGCACAGGCGGUAGUUCAUUACCGCUUAUGCAACAGGACUUACUGGCUGCCUAUCUUCUAGAGGAUAUAAGUACACAGAGAGCAUUGAAUCAGGAGAGGGUGUCUCUGCAAAGGGACUAAAUCAAGCUGGCGGAAGUUCAUUACCGCCUAUACAACAGGACCCUCUAGAUGGAUUGUUGGCCAACUAUUAUCCAAAUGAUAUAAAUUUGUUUGAUACGGUGCAUGCAGGGAAUGUCUCUGCUUAAACCCUGCCCUAAGGACUCCCUAAACCCACUCAUACUCAGUCUCAGUUUCUUACUGUAGAUUUUCAACAGAAUACAAAUUUACAUAAUACAAAUUAGUUUAACACGCGCGCAUGUAGUAAAUGUCUCUACCCAAAACCAGCUUGUUGCGGAUUUGAGACAUUUGGUAAAAAAUACAUAAAAUUUCGCAUCAACCCGCCGUGUCCACCAAUGCGAAAGCAAGAGCUACACGAAUCUCCAAUUUUUGUUAAAACCCAUGCUCACAAAUCUUCAGUUAAUGUGCAUUUCGGUAAUAAAUCUAUGUACAUAUACAUAUGUGUGCACGUGUCGAGUCUUAAUUUAAAAUAUCUAUAGGUCAAAAUUUUAAAUUGGUACCAAUUCCUGUAUCUAAGUCAUAAAAUGAAAAGUUAAUUACUUACUUAAGAUAUGUUUGUUAAAAAUUGUUUCUGAUCCUCAAAACAAAAAAUUAUGUUCUUUUGUUCCAGGGAAUGAAAAAAAGAAUAGAAACAUGUUUGGUAAAAAUUUUGUUCUCAAUAACAAAUAAUCUAUUUUUUUUGUUCUAGGGAAUAGAUUUGAAAUAGAAACAAUUAGUGAAAAAAAAUAGGUUCUUAUUCUCGGAAAUAAUUUCAAAAUUCAAUUUUUCUCUCUCUUUUUUUUUUUUUCUCUUUUAUUUCCUUCUUCUUCCUUUUGGCCGGUCACCAAGCCACCGCUAGGUCGGCAUUGCUCAACGGUGGCUUGGCAAGGCUCUGGCGAGCUCACCGGACCUCACCCAGCCGGUUGCCGACCGCCAUCGAAGACCAGCCACAAAGGAGGAAGAAAGAAAAAAUGAAAAAAUGUAUAUAAUAAAGAUAUUGAAAAAUUAAAAAAAAAAAAAAAACAACAACAACAAAAUUAUAUAAGUUUACUAAAUGCAUUUAUAUUCCCGAAAUAAUUUUUUUGCAUUUACCAAGCACGUUCCUAUACUUAGAAAUUGUUCUCAGAAACAAAAUAAAUAAAUAAAGUAUUUCUCAUCAAAAUUGUUUCCUAGAACAUAAUCAUUACCAAACUCCCUUAUAUUCCAUGUGAUUAGGCCUGCUCAUCACGGUGCACUCUGGGAAAUUCCUAGUGCUGGGGUGGUCGAUGGGGGAAUGAGCUUAGAAGCUCGAUAGGCUCUCAAACGGAAGACAACAUUGGAAUGGAGCAAUGGAGAUGCUAUGACAUCGCACACAAAAGUGGUUGACUAUCUUCCAGAUGAUACAAAUUUGUUUGACACGCUGCAUGCACGAAAUGUCCCUGCUCAAACCCUGCCCUAGGGCCUCCCCGAACCUAAGGGUGUGCAAAAUACUCGGGAACCGCCCAAACCACCCAGAACCAGACUGAAACCGCCCGAAACCGGCGGUUCUUGAGGGAACUGGUCCGGUUCUCGAUUCCAAUUUUUCGGAACUCCGCCCACUUGGACCGGACCGGAACCUUUUUAAUUUAAAAAAAAAUACUAAAAGAAACCCUAGAUUGGAUCUCAUCUCCUCGCUCCCUUCGUCUUCGGUUCUCUCUCUUUUUUUCUCUUCCUCGGUUCCUCCUAAUCCUAUCGCCAUUUUGAUUCCUCCCCGAGCGUCAACGCGACCGCCGUGCUCCUCCGCCACUGUUGUUCGCCCCCUCGCAUCAGCUGUCACCCGCCACAGCCAUGGAAAAUUGUUUCGCGACCAUUCUAUGUUGAAAACCCGACCAUAGACCUCCUCCCCCACUUUCCCAACUCAUAGACCCGACCGUUCUAUGUUGAAAACUAAAAUUGUUUCGGGUCAAGAUCGGUUCCAUGGAUCCCGACGGUUCCCAGGUGGAUCCGGUUCCAAUUUUUCGGAACCGGUCCUUAGCGGGCGGUUCCCGGUUCUAGGUUGGGGACCGCCCACCCGGACCAUGCACACCCCUACCCGAACCCACUCAAACUCAGUCUAGUUUCUUAUUACGAAUUUUCAAUAGAAUACGGAUCAGUUUGACAUGUCGCAUGUAGUGAAUGUCUUUGCCCCAAACUAACUUGCUUCGGAUUUUGAGACGUUUGGCACAUAGAAACACGCACUAACCCGCCGUGCAAACCGAAUGCGAAAACGAGAGGUAUAUGCAUCUCCAAUUUUUGUUAAAGCUUAUGCUCACCAAUCACAUGUUCAUGUACAUUUUAGUAAUAAAUUUAUGUAAAUAUGCAUACGUGCGCACAUGUCAGGUCUUAUUUCAAAAUAUCUAUAGGUCGAAAUUUUAAGUUAAUAUCAGUUCCUGCAUCACAGUCAUAAAACGAAAGAUUAAUUGAUUACUUAUAUUUCAGGCGAUUAGUCAUGCUCAUCAUGAAGCACUCUACUGGAAAGAUUCAUGAAACUAGGAUGGUCGAUGAGGGAAUGAGCUCAAAAGCUCGAUGGGCUAUUAAAGGAAAGGCAACGAUGGGAUGGAACAAUAGAGAUACUGUGACAACGCACACUAAAGUGGCUGAUUAUCUUGCAGAUGAUACAAAUUUGUUUGACAUGAUGCAUGCAUGUCUCUGCUUAAACCCUGCCCUAAGGCCUCCUUAAACCCACUCAAAUUCAAAUAUUACGAAUUUUCAACAAAAUAUAAAUCGGUUUGACACGCCUCAAGCAGUGAAUGUCUCUGCUCGAAACCAGCUUGCUACAGAUUUUGAGACAUUUGAUAAAAAGUACAUAAAAGCUCGCACCAACCCGCCUUGCCAACCGAAUGUGAAAGCGAGAGACACGUGCAUUUCCAAUUUCUAUUAAAAACUCAUGCUCACAAAUCUCAUGUUUUUGUACAUUUUGGUAAUAAAUCUAUGUAAAUAUUCAUAUGUGCGUAAGUGUCAAAUCAAACUAAGCCCAGUUUUUUAUUGCAUAUUUUCAACGGAAUACGAAUCGGUUUGACGCGCCGCAUGCAAUGAAUGUCUCUACCCAAAACCAGCUUGCUGCGGAUUUUGAGACGUUUGGUAAUAAGUACAUAAAAGCUUGCACUAAUUCACCGUGUCCACCCAAUACGAAAGUGAGAGGUACAUAUAACUCCAAUUUAUGUUAAAACUCAUGUUCACAAAUCUUCAAUUUAUAUACAUCUUGGUAAUAAAUCUACAUACAUAUACAUGUGUGCGCACAUGUCGAAUCUUAUUUUAAGUUGAUGCAAAUUCAUAUAUCAAGUUCUAAAAUAAAAAAUUAAUUAAUUACUUAUAUUCCAUGUGAUUAUGCCUGCUCGUCAGGGAGCACUCUGUUGGGGUGGUUAAUGGGGGAAUGAGCUCAAAAACUCGACGGGCUCUGAAAGGGAUCGCAAUUAUGGGAUGGAGCAAUGGAGAUACUAUAACAUUGCACACAAAAGUGGCUGACUAUCUUCCAAAGCAUACAAAUUUGUUUGACACACUCCAUGCAAAGAAUGUCUCUACUGUGGAUUUUCAAUAGAAUACAAAUCGGUUUGACACACCGCAUGCAAUGAAUAUCUCUGCCCCAAACCAGCUUACUACGGAUUUUAAUAUGUUUGGUAAAAAGUACAUAGAAUCUUGCAUUAACCCGCCGUUCCAACCGAAUGCCAAAACGAGAGGUACGUGCAUCUCUAAUAUUUGUUAAAACCCAUGCUCACAAAUCUCAUGUUUAUAUAAAUUUUGGUAAUAAAUCUAUAUAAAUGUGCAUAUGUGCACACGUGUCAAGUUUUAUUUUAAAAUAUUUUUAGGUCAAAAUUUUAAGUUAAUACAAGCUCCUGCAUCUAAGUCUUAAAAUAAAAAAGUCAAUUAAUUACUUAAAUUCCAUGCGAUUAAGCCUGCUCUUCAAGGAACACUCUAUUAGGAAGAUUCAUAGGGCUGGAGUGGUAGAUGAGGGAAUGAGCUCAUAAGCUCGACGGGCUCUUGAAUAGAAGACAGCAUGGGUUAAAGCAGUGGAGAUAUUGUGACAUCACACACAAAAGUGACUAAUUAUCUUUCAGAAUAUACAAAUUUAUUUAACACGUUGCAUGCACGGAAUGUCUCUGCUCGGACCUUCCCGAACCAACUCAAACUCAAUCCUAAUUUCGUAUUGUUGAUUUUAAUAGAAUACAAAUUAAUUCGACACGCCGCAUGCAAUGAAUGUCUCUGUCCCAAACUAGCUUCUUGUAGACUUUAAGACGUUUGGUAAAAAGUACAUAAAAACUCGCACCAACUCGUUGUGCCCACCAAAUGCAAAAGCGAGAGGUACAUGUAAUUUCAAUUUAUAUUAAAACUCAUGCUCACAAAUCUCCAAUUUAUGUACAUUUUGGUAAUAAAUUUAUGUAAAUAUGCAUACGUAUGCACAUGUCGGGUCUUAUUUCAAAAUAUUUAUAGGUCAAAAUUUUAAGUUAAUACAAAUUUCUGCAUUCAAGUCAUAAAAUGAAAAAUUAAUUAAUUUUUUAUAUUUCAUACGAUUAGACCUACUCAUUAGAGAGCACUCUACUAGAAAUAUUCAAGGGGCUGGGGUGGUCAAUAGGAGAAUGAGCUAAGAACCUCAAUGAGCUCUCAAACGGAAGACAACAAUGGGAUCAAGUUGUGGGGAUAUUGUGACAUCGCACACAAAAAUGGCUUACUAUUUUCCAAAUUAUAUAAAUUUAUUUAGCAUGCUGCAUGCAAAUAAUGUCUCUGCUCAAACCCUGCCUUAAGGCCACCCUGAACACACUAAAAUUCAAUUCCAAUUUCAUAUUGCGGAUUUUCAAUAGAAUACGAAUUGGUUUGACACGCCACAUUUAGUAAAAAUGUCUCUGCUCGAAACCAGCUUACUGCGAAUUUUGAGGCGUUUGGUAAAAAAUACAUAAAAUCUCGCACCAACCCACUGUGCCCACCAAAUGCGAAAGCGAGAGGUACGUGCAAUUCCAAUUUUUGUUAAAGCUCAUGCUCACAAAUUUCUAGUUUAUGUACAUUUUGAUAAUUAAUCUAUGUAAAUAUGUAUAUGUACGCACUUGUCAGAUCUUAUUUCAAAAUAUUUGUAACUCGAAAUUUUAAGUUAAUAUUAGUUCCUACAUUCAAGUCAUAAAAUGAAAAGUUAAUUAAUUAGUUAUAUUUCAUACACUUAGGCCUGUUCAUCAGGAAGCACUCUACUAGAGAGAUUCAUGGGGCUGGGGUGGUCGAUACCGGAAUAUGCUCAGAAGCUCGAUGACCUCUCAAACGGAAGGCAUAUGAUGGAGUAGUGGAGAUACUGUGACAUCGCACACAAAAGUGGUUGACUACCUUUCAUACGAUACAAAUUUGUUUAACACGCUGCAUGCAAUAAACGUCUCUAGUCAAACCCUACCCUAGAGCCUUCUCGAACCCACUCAAACUUAGUCCUAGUUUUUCAUUGCGGAUUUUCAACAUAAUACGAAUCGGUUUCACACGCCGUAUGUAGUAAAUGUCUCUGCUCGAAACCAGUUUGAUGUGGGUUUUAAGUUUUUUGAUAAAAAGUACAUAGAAACUCGCACCAACCCACCAUGCCCACCGAAUGUGAAAGCGAGAGAUUCGUGCAUCUCUAAUUUAUGAUAAAACUUAUGCUCACAAAUCUUCAGUUUACAUACAUUUUGAUAAUAAAUCUACAUACAUAUGCAUGUGUGCGCACGUAUCGGAUCGUAUUUCAAAAUAUCUGAAGAUCGAAAUUUUAAGUUAAUACAAAUCAUAAAAUGGAAAAUUAUAUAAUUACUUAUAUUCCAUGCGAUUAGGCAUGCUCAUCAGUGAGCACUCUGCUAGGGAGAUCCAUAAAGCUGGGCUGGUGAAUGGGAGAUUGAGCUAUGAAGCUCGACAGGCUCCGAAAGGAAAGGCAACAAUGGAAUGGAGUAGUGGAAAUAUUAUAACUAUCUUCCAAAUGAUACAAAUUUGUUUGACACGCUACAUACAAUGAAUAUCUCUGCUCAAACCCUACCCCAAGAUCUCCCCAAACCCACUCAAACUCAGUCACAAUUUUUUAUUCCGAAUUUUUAACAGAAUAUGAAUCGGUUUGACACGCUGCAUGCAGUGAAUCUUUCUGCCCUAAACCAUAUUGCUACAGAUUUUGAGACAUUUAGUAAAAAGUACAUAAAAGCUUGCACCAACCCACCGUGUCAACCGAAUGCGAAAGCGAGAGGCACGUGCAUCUCUAAUUUCUAUUAAAACUCAUCUUCACAAAUUUCUUGUUUUUGUUCAUUUUUGUAAUAAAUCUAUGUAAAUAUUCAUAUGUGCGCACGUGUCACGUCAAACUAAGUCUCAGUUUCUUAUUGCAGAUUUUCAACGGAAUAAAAAUCAGUUUAACGUGCCCGCAUGCAAUGAAUGUUUCUGCCCGAAACCAGCUUAGCGCGAAUUUUGAGAUAUUUAGUAAAAAAUACAUAGAUGCUCGCACCAACCCGCCGUGCCAACCGAAUGCGAAAGUGAGAAAUACAUACAUCUUCAAUUUCUAUUAAAGCUCAUGCUCACAAAUCUCCAGUUUGUGCACAUUUUUGUAAUAUUUCUAUGUAAAUAUUCAUAUGUGCGCACGUGUCAAGUUAAACUCAAUCCUAGUUUCUUAAUGCAAAUUUUCAACAAAAAAUGAAUCGUUUUGACACACCGUAUGCAAUGAAUGUCUUUGUCCAAAACUAGCUUACUGCAAAUUUUGAGACGUUUGGUAAAAAAUACAUAAAAGCUCGCACCAACCCGCUGUGGCCAACGAAUGCGAAAGCGAGAGGUACGUGCAACUCUAAUUUCUGUUAAAGCUCAUGCUCACAAAUCUCCAAUUUAUGUACAUUUUGGUAAUAAAUCUACGUACAUAUGCAUGUGUACACAAGUGUCGAGUUUUAUUUCAAAAUAUCUAUAAGUUGAAAUUUUAAGUUAAUACAAAUUGCUACAUCAAAAUCAUAAAAUGAAAAGUUGAAAUUAUUUAUAUUCCAUGCGAUUUUGCCUACUCAUAAAGGAGCACUCUGCUAGGAAGAUUCAUGUGGUUGGGGUGGUCGAUGAGAGAAUGAGCUAUGAAGCUCAACGAGCUCUCAAAUGGAAGGAAGCGACGGGAUGGAGCAAUGGAGAGACUAUGACAUCGCACACAAAAGUGAUUAAUUAUCUUCCAUAAGAUACAAAUUGCACUCAGUAUGCACAGAAUGUCUCUACUCAAACCUUACCUUAUAACCUUCUCGAACUCACUCAAGCUCAGUCUUCGCUUCUUAUUGUGGAUUUUUAAUAGAAUACAAAUUAUUUUGACACACCACUUGCAAAGAAUAUCUUUGCCUCAAAUCAGCUUAUUGUGAAUUUUCAAACGUUUGGUAAAAAGUACAUAAAAGCUCGCACUUACCCGCCGUACCCACCGAAUGCGAAAGUGAGAGGUAUAUGCAAUUCCAAUUUCUAUUAAAGCACAUGCUCAUAAAUUUUCAAUUUAUGUACAUUUUGGUAAUAUGCACGUAAAUAUGCAUAUAUGCACACGUGUUGGGUUUUUAUUUUAAGAUAUAUGUAGGUCGAAAUUUUAAAUUAAUCCAAAUUCCUACAUCCAAGUUAUAUAAUGAAAAGUUAAUUAAUUUCUUAUAUUCCAUUUGAUUAGGCCUGCUCAUCAAUGAACACUCUACUAGAGAGAUUUAUGGGAUUGAGGUGGUCGAUGGGGGAAUAAGUUCAGAAGCUCGACGGGCUCUAAAAGGGAAGGCAGCAAUGGGAUGGAGCAGUGGAAAUACUAUGACAUUGUACACAAAAGUGGUUAACUAUCUUCCAAAGUAUAUAAAUUUGUUUAAUAUACUGCAUGCAGAGAAUGUCUCUGCUCAAACCCUGCCCAACGGCUCCCUAAACCCACUAAAACUUAGUCUUAUUUUCUUUUUGCAGAUUUUCAACAGAAUACGAAUCAAUUUGAGACACCGCAUGCAGUGAAUGUCUAUGCUCAAAAGUAGUUUGCUGCAAAUUUUGAGACAAAUUUUAAGUCGUUUGGCAAAAAGUACAUAAAAACUCGCACCAACCCGCCGUUCCGAUCAAUUGUGAAAGAGAAAAGUAUGUCCAUCUCUAAUUUAUGUUAAAACUUAUACCCACAAAUCUCCACUUUAUAUACAUCUUAGUAAUAAAUUUAUGUACAUAUGCAUAUGUGCGCACGUGCCGGGUCUUAUUUCAAAAUAUUAGUAAGUCGAAAUUUUAAAUUGAUAUAAAUUCCUGCAUUCAAGUCGUAAAAUGAAAAGUUAAUUAAUUACUUAUAUUCUAUGCGAUUAUGCCUGCUCAUUAUGGAGUACUCUCCUGGGAGAUUCAUGGGCUGGGGUGGUCGAUGGGGGGAAUGACCUCAGAAGCUCGACAGGCUCUAAAAAGGAAGGCAGCGAUGGGCUGGAGCAGUGGAGAUGUUGUGACAUCGCAUACAAAGGUGGCUAAUUAUUUUCCAGAUAAUACAAAUUUGUUUGACAUACUGCAUAUAGGGAUUGUCUCUACUCAAACUCUACCCCAAAGCCUCCCCGAACCCACUCAAACUCGAAUCCAAUUUCUUAUUGUAGAUUUUCAACAGAAUACGAAUCGAUUUGACACGCUACAUGUAGUGAAUGUCUCUGCCUGAAAAUAGCUUGCUGCGGAUUUUGAAACAUUUGGUAAAAAGUACAUAGAAGCUUGCACCAACCUGUCAUUCCCACCGAAUGCAAAAGAUAGAGGUAUGUGCAUCUCCAGUUUCUGUUAAAACUUAUCCUCACAAAUCUCCAAUUUAUGUACAUUUUGGUAAUAAGUCUAUGUACAUAUGCAUAUGUGCGCACGUAUCGAGUCUUAUUUCAAAAUAUUCGUAGAUUAAAAUUUUAAGUUGAUACCAGUUCCUACUCCAAGUCAUAAAAUGAAAAGUUAAUUGAUUACUUUUAUUCCAUGCGAUUAUGCCAUGAGGCUGGGGUGGUCAAUAUGGGAAUAAGUUCCGAAGCUCGACGUGCUCUAAAAUGGAAGACAGUGAUGGGAUGGAGGAGUGGAAUGCUGUGACAUCGCACACAAAAGUGGUUGGCUAUCUUCCAAGGGAUAUAAAUUUGUUUGAUACACUGUAUGCAGAGAAUGUCUCUGCUCAAACCUUGCCUCAGGGCUUCCCCAAACCCACUCAAACUCAAUCCUACUUUCUUUUUGCGAAUUUUUAAUAGAAUAUGAAUCGGUUUAACACACCGCAUGCUGUAAAUGUCUUUACUCAAAAGAAGCUUACUGCAGAUUUUAAGACAUAUCAUAAAAAGUACAUAGAAGUUCGCAACAACCCCUCGUGCCCAUGAAUGUGAAAAGCAAGAAGUUCGUGCAUCUCCAAUUUCUGUUAGAACUCAUGCUCACAAAUCUUCAAUUUAUGUAUAUUUUGAUAAUAAAUUUAUGUACAUAUGCAUAUGUUCACACGUGUUCAGUCUUAUUUUAAAAUAAUAGUAUGACGAAAUUUUAAGUUGGUACAAAUUCCUGCAUCAAAAUCAUAAAAUGAAAAGUUAAUUACUUACUUAUAUUUCAUGCUAUUAGGUCUGCUCAUCAAGGAGUACUUUGCUAUGGGGAUUCAUGAGGCUGGUGUAGUUAAUGAGGGAAUGAGCUCGGAAGCUCAACGAACUCUAAAAGGGAAAGCAGCAAUGCAAUGGAGUAGUGGAGAUGCUAUGAUAUCGAACAAAAAAGUGGUGAAAGAAUUGGAAGUACUAAUCAACGCUAGCGAAACUAAGUGCAUGGGAGGAAUGUCUCUGCUCAAACUCUAUCAGCCUCCCCGAACCCACUCAAACUCAGUCUCAAUUUCUUAUUACAGAUUUUCAACAGAAUGUGAAUCGAUUUCACAUGCCACGUGCAGUGAAUGUCUUUGCUCAAAAGUAGCUUGCCACAGAUUUUAAUACAUUUGGUAAAAAGUAUGUAGAAACUCGCUAACCCGCCAUGCCUACCGAAUGUGAAAGCGAGAAGUACGUGCAUAUCCAAUUUCUGUUAAAGCUCAUGCUUCAUAAAUCUCCAAUUCAUAUACAUGUUGAUAAUAAAUCUAUGUACAUAUGCAUAUGUUUGCACGUGUUUGGUCUUAUUUCAAAAUAACUGUACGUCCAAAUUUUUAAGUUGGUACCAAUUCCUAUAUCCAAGUCAUAAAAUGAAAAAUUAAUUAUUUACUUAUAUUACAUAUUAUUAGGUCUGCUCAUCAGGAAGCACUCUGCUGGGGGGAUUCAUGAGGCUGGUGUGGUCAAUGGGGGAAUGAGCUCGGAAGCUUAAUGGGCUUUGAAAAGGAAAACAGCAAUGCAAUAGAGCAGUGGAGAUGCUAUGAUAUCGAACAUGAAAGUAGUGAAAGAAUACUCAUCAACGCUAGCGAAACUGAGUGCAUACAAGGAAUGUCUCUGCUCAAACCCUGUCCGCCUCCUUGAACCCACUCAAACUCAGUCACAAUUUCUUAUUGCAGAUUUUCAAUAGUAUACGAAUCGGUUUGACAUGUCACAUGCAAUGAAUGUCUCUGCUCAAAAGCAGCUUACUGCAGAUUUUAAGACAUUUGGUAAAAAGUACGUAGAAACUCGCACUAAGCCGCCACGCCUACCGAAUGUGAAAGCAAGAAGUACGUGCAUCUCCAAUUUCUAUUAAAACUCAUGCUCACAAAUCUUCAAUUCAUGUACAUGUUGAUAAUAAAUCUAUGUACAUAUGCAUAUGUUCGCACGUGUUGGGUCUUAUUUCAAAAUAACUGUAAGUCGAAAUUUUAAGUUGGUACCAAUUCCUGCAUCCAAGUCAUAAAAUGAAAAAUUAAUUACUUACUUAUAUUACAUAUAAUUAGGUCUGCUCAUCAGGGAGCACUCUGCUGGGGGAUUCAUGAGGCUGGUGUGGUCGAUGGGGAAAUACGCUCGGAAGCUUAACAGGCUCUGAAAGGGAAGGCAGCAAUGCAAUGGAGCAGUGGAGAUGCUAUGAUAUUGAACAUGAAAGUGGUGAAAGAACUAGAAGUACUGCAUGCAAGGAAUGUCUCUGCUCAAACCCUAUCCGCCUCCCCGAACCCACUCAAACUUAGUCUCAAUUUCUUAUUGCGGAUUUUCAAAAAAAUACGAAUCGGUUUGACACGCCACAUGCAGUGAAUGUCUUUGCUCAAAAGUAACUUACUGCAGAUUUUUAGACAUUUGGUAAAAAGUACGUAGAACUCGCACUAACCCGCCAUGCCUACCGAAUGUGAAAGCGAAAAAUACGUGCAUCUCCAAUUUCUUAAAGCUCAUGCUCACAAAUCUCCAAUUCAUGUACAUGUUGAUAAUAAAUCUAUAUACAUAUGCAUAUGUUCACACGUGUUGGGUCUUAUUUCAAAAUAACUGUAGGUCGAAAUUUUAAGUUUGUAUCAAUUCUGGCAUCCAAGUCAUAAAAUGAAAAGUUAAUUACUUACUUAUAUUACAUGCUAUUAGGUCUGCUCAUCGGGGAGCACUCUGCUAGGAAAUUUAUGAGGCUAGUGUGGGCGAUGGGGGAAUAAGCUCAAAAGCUCAAUGGGCUUUGAAAGGGAAGACAGCAAUGUAAUUGAGCAAUGGAGAUGUUAUGAUAUCGAAUAUGAAAGUGGUGAAAGAACUGGAAAUAUUCUAGCGAAACUGAGCGCAUGCAAGGCAUGUCUCUACUCAAACCCUACCCGCAUCCUCGAACCCACUUAAACUCAGUCCCAAUUUUUUAUUGCGGAUUUUCAACAGAAUACGAAUCGGUUUAACAUGUCACAUGUAGUGAAUGUCUCUGCUAAAAAGCAACUUGCGGCAGAUUUUGAGACAUUUGGUAAAAAGUACGUAGAAGCUCGCACUAACCCGCCAUGCCUACUGAAUGUGAAAGCGAGAAGUACAUAUAUCUCCAAUUUCUAUUAAACUCAUGUUCACAAAUCUCCAAUUCAUGUACAUGUUGAUAAUAAAUCUAUGUACAUAUGCAUAUGUUCGCACGUAUUGGAUCUUAUUUCAAAAUAAUUGUAGGUCGAAAUUUUAAGUUGGUACCAAUUCCAACAUCCUAAUCAUAAAAUAAAAAGUUAAUUACUUACUUAUAUUACAUGCUAUUAGGUCUGAGCACUUUGCUGGGGGGAUUCAUGAUGCCGAUGUAGUCGAUGGGGGAAUGAACUCGGAAGCUCAACGAUCUCUGAAAGGGAAGGCAGUAAUGCAAUGAAGCAGUGGAGAUGCUAUGAUAUCGAACAUGAAAGUGAUGAAAGAACUGGAAGUACUCAUCAAUGCUAGCGAAACUGAGUGCAUACAAGGAAUGUCUCUACUCAAACCCUGCCCGCCUCCCCGAACCCACUCAAACUUAGUCCCAAUUUCUUAUUGCGGAUUUUCAACAGAAUACGAAUCGAUUUGACACGCCACAUGCAGUGAAUGUCUCUUCUCAAAAACAACUUACUGCAGAUUUUGAGACAUUUGGUAAAAAGUACGUAAGAAGCUCGCACUAACUCGCAUGCCUACCGAAUGUGAAAGUGAGAAAUACAUGCAUCUCCAAUUUCUGUUAAAACGCAUGCUCACAAAUCUCUAAUUCAUGUACAUGUUGAUAAUAAAUCUAUAGAUAUAUGCAUAUGUUCGCACGUGUUGGGUCAUAUUUCAAAUAACUAUAGGUCGAAAUUCUAAGUUAGUACCAAUUCCUACAUCCAAGUCAUAAAAUGAAAAGUUAAUUACUUACUUAUAUUCCAUGCUAUUAGGUCUGCUCAUCAUGGAGCAUUAUGUCGGGGGAUUCAUGAGGCUGGUGUGGUCAAUGGGGGAAUGAGCUCGGAAGCUCAACGGGCUCUAAAAGGAAAAGCAGCAAUGCAAUGGAGCAGUAGAGAUGCUAUGAUAUCGAACAUGAAAAUGGUGACAGAACUGGAAGUACUCAUCAACGCUAGCGAAACUAAGUGCAUGCAAGGAAUGUCUCUGCUCAAACCCUGCCCGCCUCCCCGAACCCACUCAAACUCAAUCCUAAUUUCUUAUUGCGGAUUUUCAAUAGAAUACGAAUCAGUUUGACAUGCCACAUGCAGUGAAUGUCUCUGUUCAAAAGCAGCUUGCUGUAGAUUUUGAAACAUUUGGUAAAAAGUACGUAGAAGCUCGCACUAACCCGCCAUGCCUACCAAAUGUGAAAGCGAGAAGUAUGUGUAUCUCCAAUUUCUGUUAAAACUCAUGCUCACAAAUCUCCAAUUCAUGUACAUGUUGAUAAUAAAUCUACGUAUAUAUGCAUAUGUUCGCAUGUGUUGGGUCUUAUUUCAAAAUAAUUGUAAGUCGAAAUUUUAAGUUGGUACUAAUUCCCACAUCCAAAUUAUAAAAUGAAAAGUUAAUUACUUACUUAUAUUCCAUGCCAUUAGGUCUGCUCAUCAGAGAGCACUCUGCUGGAGUGAUUCAUGAGGCUGGUGUGGUCGAUGGGGGAAUGAGCUCGGAAGCUCAACGGGCUCUAAAAGGAAAGAUAGUAAUGCAAUGAAUCAGUUGAGAUACUAUGAUAUCGAACAUGAAAGUGGUGAAAGAACUGCAAGUACUCAUCAACGCUAGCGAAACUGAGUGCAUGCAAGGAAUGUCUCUGCUCAAACCCUGCCCGCCUCCCCGAACCCACUCAAACUUAGUCCCAAUUUCUUAUUGCGGAUUUUCAACAGAAUACGAAUUGAUUUGACACGCCACAUGCAGUUAAUAUUUCUGCUCAAAAGCAGCUUGCUGCAGAUUUUUAGACAUUUGGUAAAAAGUACAUAGAAGCUCGCACUAACCCACCAUGCUUACCCGAAUGUGAAAGCGAGAAGUACGUGCAUCUCUAAUUUCUAUUAGAGCUCAUGCUCAUAAAUCUCCAAUUCAUGUACAUGUUGAUAAUAAAUCUAUGUACAUAUGCAUAUGUUCGCAUGUGUUGGGUCUUAUUUCAAAAUAACUAUAGAUUGAAAUUUUAAGUUGAUACCAAUUCCUGCAUCCAAAUCAUAAAAUAAAAGUUAAUUACUUAUUUAUAUUCCAUACUAUUAGGUCUGCUCAUCAUAUAGCACUUUGCUUGGGGAUUCAUGAGGCUAGUGUGGUUGAUGGGGGAAUGAGCUUGGAAGCUCAAUGGGCUCUGAAAGAAAAGGCAGCAAUGCAAUGGAGUAUUGGAGAUUCUAUGAUAUCAAACAUGAAAGUGAUGAAAGAACUGGAAGUACUCAUGAACUAGCGAAACUGAGUGGAUAAGCGUCAAAGAGGAAUGCUCCAAUGAGUUGCAGUCAAUUACACCGGAAAAUAGGACAGGGAUGGACAAGUUGAUGAUAGUAAUUCAAAGGAUUCUUCUAUUUGUGAAGGAUGCAACCAAAGAAUUCCCCAAUAAGUAGGGGGAGGAACUUAAAGGUCAUUGUACCUAACGGUUUCACCAUGGAUGUGCUACUGCUAAUGCGGUCCGAUUAGACAAUCUUUCAAAUGAGAGGACUCUGACUGUACCUAAGGAUCUCACCAUGUAUGUGCUACUGCUAAUGUGGUCCGAUUAGACAAUCUCUCAAAGGAGAGGACGUGAAGAAAAGGGCUGGCAUUUUGCAUGGACGAUGGAGAUGAAUGCGUCAUGAUUUUAGAUGGAUGCAUUCCCAAGUUAAGGACAACAGGAAUUCCAAUUGAAAUGCAUAGUUAGUACUAACAACUUGAUUAUUGAUGUGUGCCUGUGAUGCUCUGUAAAUGAAUGAGCACAAUUAGAACUGCCAAAAAGGCAUGCAAGAAGCUUAUAUGCAUGUACUUUAGCUGUAGGAAACUGCAGAGAAACUUCCUCUAUCAGAGAACUUAUACUUGAAAAGAUCCACAAGAAAAUGUUCGCUCACAUUGCUCUCAGCAUCACACGCCCUCUUAUUCAAAAGAAAAUCGAAGCACAAAACCCAAAAAAAGAGAAGAAAAGAUCCAUCACGGACUUUCUCGUCCAUCCAUUCAUAUUAUAAUUCCUCAAUAUAUAAACAUUUAUGUGAGAAAAAGCUUUGGUUGUCGCUAGGAAUCUUAUAACAAACACAAGUUUCUCGGUACCUAUUUUUCCA